rnacentral:rRNA from 1 species
AUUGAACGCUGGCGGCAUGCCUUACACAUGCAAGUCGAACGGCAGCAUGAUCUAGCUUGCUAGAUUGAUGGCGAGUGGCGAACGGGUGAGUAAUACAUCGGAACGUGCCCUGUAGUGGGGGAUAACUAGUCGAAAGAUUAGCUAAUACCGCAUACGACCUGAGGGUGAAAGUGGGGGACCGCAAGGCCUCAUGCUAUAGGAGCGGCCGAUGUCUGAUUAGCUAGUUGGUGAGGUAAGGGCUCACCAAGGCGAGGAUCAGUAGCUGGGGUCGGAGGACGAGCAGCCACCAUGGGACUGGGACACGACCCAGACUCGUACGGGAGGCAGCAGUGGGGAAUUUUGGACAAUGGGCGAAAGCCUGAUCCAGCAAUGCCGCGUGUGUGAAGAAGGCCUUCGGGUUGUAAAGCACUUUUGUCCGGAAAGAAAUGGCUCUGGUUAAUACCUGGGGUCGAUGACGGUACCGGAAGAAUAAGGACCGGCUAACUACGUGCCAGCAGCCGCAGUAA